rnacentral:rRNA from 1 species
CAUGGUUGUCGUCAGCUCGUGUCGUGAGAUGUUGGGUUAAGUCCCGCAACGAGCGCAACCCCUAUUGUUACGUUGCCAUCAUUCAGUUGGGCACUCUAGCGAGACUGCCGGUAAUAAACCGGAGGAAGUGGGGAUGACGUCAAAUCAUCCUGCCCCUUAUGACCUGGGCUACACACGUGCUACAAUGGUUGGUACAACGAGUUGCGAGUCGGUGACGGCGAGCUAAUCUCUUAAAGCCAAUCUCAGUUCGGAUUGUAGGCUGCAACUCGCCUACAUGAAGUCGGAAUCGCUAGUAAUCGCGGAUCAGCACGCCGCGGUGAAUACGUUCCCGGGCCUU